UACGUAGGGAGCAAGCGUUGUCCGGAAUCAUUGGGCGUAAAGCGCGCGUAGGUGGCUUCGUAAGUCCGUUGUGAAAGCCAAAGGCUCAACCUUUGAAAGCCGAUGGAUACUGUGAAGCUAGAGUACGGAAGAGGCGAGUGGAAUUCCUGGUGUAGCGGUGGAAUGCGCAGAUAUCAGGAGGAACACCAAUAGCGAAGGCAGCUCGCUGGGACGUUACUGACGCUGAGGCGCGAAAGCGUGGGGAGCGAACAGG
rnacentral:rRNA from 1 species